rnacentral:rRNA from 1 species
GCUUACGGCCAUACCACCCUGAACACGCCCGAUCUCGGAAGCUAAGCAGGGUCAGGCCUGGUUAGUACUUGGAUGGGAGACCGCCUGGGAAUACCAGGUGCUGUAAGCU